CGCUAGGAUGAACGCUAGCGGCAGGCCUAAUACAUGCAAGUCGAACGGGAAGAGGCCCUUCGGGGUCUCUGAGAGUGGCGCACGGGUGCGUAACGCGUAUGCAACCAACCCCGCACUGGGGGACAGCCGGUGGAAACGCCGGGUAAUACCCCAUGCCGACGGGAGGGGACAUCCCCAUCCGUUGAAAGGCUUCGGUCGGUGCGGGACGGGCAUGCGUCCCAUUAGCUAGUCGGCGGGGUAACGGCCCACCGAGGCCAUGAUGGGUAGGGGAUCUGAGAGGACGGUCCCCCACACUGGUACUGAGACACGGACCAGACUCCUACGGGAGGCAGCAGUAAGGAAUAUUGGGCAAUGGGGGGAACCCUGACCCAGCCAAUGCCGCGUGAGGGAAGUAGGCCCUACGGGUCGUGAACCUCUUUUGUCGGGGGACAAGGACGCCUACGAGAUGGGUGUUUGCGGGUACCCGGCGAAUAAGCAUCGGCUAACUCCGUGCCAGCCGCGGC
rnacentral:rRNA from 1 species